GAUGAACGCUAGCGGUAUGCUUAACACAUGCAAGUCGUACGGGAGUUUUUAACUCAAGUGGCGGACGGGUGAGUGACACGUGAGAAUUUACCUUUAGGAGGGGGAUAACAAUUGGAAACGAUUGCUAAUACCCCAUAUGCUUUUUUAAGUGAAACGAAUUCUUUCGCCUAAAGAAAAGCUCGCGGCUGAUUAGCUAGUUGGUAAGGUAAUGGCUUACCAAGGCGACGAUCAGUAUCUGGUUUGAGAGGACGAUCAGACACACUGGAACUGAGACACGGUCCAGACUCCUACGGGAGGCAGCAGUGGGGAAUUUUCCGCAAUGGGCGAAAGCCUGACGGAGCAAUACCGCGCGAGGGAAGAAAGCCUACUGGGUUGUAAACCUCUUUUUUCAGGGAGGAAAAAAAUGACGUUAC
rnacentral:rRNA from 1 species